AAAAAAGUGGAACAAUUUCAAGGGAGAAGUCAAACUUGAUUGCUGUGAACCACACCUUGAAAAUAUAACAAAUAUUAUUAAAGCUAAGCCUGAUUUUGUGCCCGAGGAGCAAUAGCGUUAUCUGGUAACUUAUUGGAAUUCUCCUAAAGGCAAGGAAAGAUCUGAAAAAAAUCGAAAAAGUCGUGAGGUACAAGUUAUGGCUCAUACUGGUGGAUCGAAAAGCUUUGCGUGUUAUGCUGAUGACAAGGUAUGAGACUAUCAAUGGGGCAACACCGUCAAGAGCUAUGGUGUUCUUGGAUACUCAUAAGGAACGUAAAAUUGUGCCAACACCAAUGGAUGAAAAGUCAAAACAAGCUGUGGAACUGAUAAAUGGCAAGUUAAGUAAACUUCCAAAUGGUGUUGAGGAAACAAAUGGCAAGGUUGCAUGGGAAGGUGACAUAUAUUCCCAAGUAAUGAGUAUUAUUGUAGGCCCAGAAAAAAGGGUCAAGUUCGUGGUCUGGGUAGAUGUCCAAAGUCCUUGUCUUCUGUUUCAUCUAAUCAAGAAAGAGAUUACCAUGAUGAUCAUGACAUAUGUGAUGAAAGAAUCCAAUUUUUAGAGUGUGAACUCAAAAGAGUGCAAGAAAAAUCGGCACAAUUAGAGAAAGACAAUGCUGAAUCUCUAGCUCAGAUGAAAGAGGAUGUCAAGUUGUUAAAGGCAUUGUUGCUAGGUAGAAGAGUUCUUGAUGUCAGCACUUAGUGAACAGGUUAUUUUUUAUCAAGUGGGGUGAAUUUGUCGAUUAUUUGUGAAGCUUGAAUCUGAUUUUUGCUGAUUUUUGCUGAUUUUUGCUGAUUUUGGAAGUUAUGAAGAGCAUAAAUAGCCUUUGAAAUGGCUAUUUGGAUCAUGUGUAAUCAGUUUUGAAGUUGUUCAAAGAUGUAACAAGUUUUUUUUGGUACCUUGGAUGAUGAUGUAACAACGAUUAUUCAUAUCUAUUAAAUUUAUAAUUAUCUUCCUUAUACUAUACAUUUGUGUAUUGUUGUGUGGGAGCUGAAAUAUAUUUUAUGUAUUAUGG